rnacentral:rRNA from 1 species
GACGAACGCUGGCGGCGUGCUUAACACAUGCAAGUCGAACGAUGAAGCCCAGCUUGCUGGGUGGAUUAGUGGCGAACGGGUGAGUAACACGUGAGUAACCUGCCCCUGACUCUGGGAUAAGCGUUGGAAACGACGUCUAAUACUGGAUAUGACUACUGGUCGCAUGGCCUGGUGGUGGAAAGAUUUUUUGGUUGGGGAUGGACUCGCGGCCUAUCAGCUUGUUGGUGAGGUAAUGGCUCACCAAGGCGACGACGGGUAGCCGGCCUGAGAGGGUGACCGGCCACACUGGGACUGAGACACGGCCCAGACUCCUACGGGAGGCAGCAGUGGGGAAUAUUGCACAAUGGGCGAAAGCCUGAUGCAGCAACGCCGCGUGAGGGAUGACGGCCUUCGGGUUGUAAACCUCUUUUAGUAGGGAAGAAGCGAAAGUGACGGUACCUGCAGAAAAAGCACCGGCUAACUACGUGCCAGCAGCCGCAGUAAUAC